rnacentral:rRNA from 1 species
CACGUAGGGGGCGAGCGUUGUUCGGAAUUACUGGGCGUAAAGGGCAUGUAGGCGGUUCUGUAAGCCUGGCGUGAAAUGCUGCAGCUUAACUGCAGCACUGCGUUGGGAACUGUAGGACUAGAGUUACGGAGAGGGAGCUGGAAUUCCAGGUGUAGGGGUGAAAUCUGUAGAUAUCUGGAAGAACACCAAAGGCGAAGGCAAGCUUCUGGCCGAUAACUGACGCUGAGGUGCGAAAGUGUGGGGAUCAAACAGG